ensembl:lncRNA
GCAGUGUUGCCCUCGCUCAGCACUCGUUUAGCUAAUUAAAGCAGUGCCCGUCUGCCAGCAGGACAAACAGUAUCAGCCUGUACUGCGCAGGAGAGACUUCACACGGUGCUUGAGAACAUCACGGGCUGGAUGUGGAGUGUGUGCUGUAGUGUGCGUGAUAUGCCAGGAAUAUCGAGAUUAUACGUGGUUUGCAACAGAACGAAGCUUGGUUCAUUGGCACCUUCUGUCAAAACAGAGAAAGAGUUUGAAGAUCUUGCUGAGCAGACAGAUGUGACAUUUACAGCUCACUCCUCUCCUCGGGAGCGACGGGGGGAAAGAUGGCAUGCGUCAGUGAUGGCGGUGGAAACGCUGGCCAGAGAAAGACUCAGAGCUGUGAAACAGCGACCACAGCAGCCACACGCACACACACACACACACACAAACACAGCACUGUUCCCUGUCAUUACAGCAUUAUCCAGCACAGUCUGUCUGGCCUGUGCACCUACAGAGCAUCUACAUGCUAACAUCUCGGCCUACGUCUCGAAGGAAGAGGAAAAUCUUAUUGCUCAGAGGGUUUUCUUUUAUACAUCUGCAU